CACAGCACCAACUAUUGCCCCCAAACUGCUGUCUCUUUCAAAGUUAUCUAGGACUCCAGAGCAAUUUAGCUCUUUUGAUAAGCCUUGCCAGAACUCAGGUUCUGACCGCUGGAAUGGGCAAUUUCCCUCUGGCUAAGUCUGGUCUAAAUGUUCCUUCUGUAAGUGCCAGUUGAUUUCUACCCAGUGUUGCUUUCUGCUGUGACAGGGCAGCACUGAGUUGCAAUGCAAAGCUCCACAGUCACUAGGCUCUCCUUCCCCCAAGAAAACAGAUUCUCUCUCCAUGCCAUGCAGCUGCUGCCAGAGAAUGAAGGAUGGUGUUAGCAUUUCAAGACUGUCUUUUCUGCCCUCUUCCGUUCUGCUUUCAGUGAUAUGAAGUUAAAACCAGGUAUGGACUUAUCUGUACUCAGCCAACUGUAGAAGAACAACCCUUCAGAGCUCCUGAGAGUUGGUCGUCUUCAUACAGCUACUCUGGAUUUAGGUGGAUUAAAACUCCAAUCAAGUACUUUGCAGUGUGUAGUGCAAAAAGUCGUGGGUGAACGGAUUUUAAAAAAUUUUCAUUUUGUCUACAAUUAAUUAUGACUUUUAUUUACAAAUUUAUUAUUUUGCACUUCAAGAAAAUCAUUUAAGAAUUUUAAUGUUUUGUAUGAUAUAAAUUUUGUUUAUUUUUAUUAUGGGACAACAAUAAUUUGUAAGUAUCGUAUCACUCCCAUUUGUGGAUGGCUGAUUACUUUUUUUUUUUUUUUUUUGAGGCUGAGUUUCGCUUUUGUGGCCCAGGCUGGAGUGCAAUGGCAGGAGCUCCACUCACUGCAACCUCCAUCUCCCAGGCUCCAGCAAUUCUCCUGCCUCAGCCUCCCGAGUAGCUGGGAUUACAGGCGCCUGCCACCAAGCCUGGCUAAUUAUUGUAUUUUUAGUGGAGACAGAAUUUCGCCGUGUUGGCCAGGCUAGACUUGAACUCCUGGCCUCAAGUGAUCUGCCGGCCUCCCAAGUGCUGGGAUUACAGGUGUGAGCCACCAUGCCUGGCCAGCUGACUACUUUCUAAAGAAACAAUGUAACCUGGAUCUAUUCUCAACUAAUUGUAACCUGUUGUACUUAAGAAGCAGGGGAAAGGACAACCCUACAAACCUGGAACAAGGUUUUUAGCAAAAGACAUUUCACCCACAACUAUAAACUGGGCAGAGAAUGGGAGAAGAGCAUGAGGAAUCAUAUAACAGCAAUGGAUGCCAAAGAAAAAUAAUCCUCUGCAGAGAUUUAUGGGGGAACAGGGUCUCGCUGACUUACUGUUGCCCAGAUUGGAGUGCACUGGAGCAAUCAUAGCUCACUGCAGCCUCAAACUCCUGGGCUCAAGUGAUCCUCCCACCUCACCCUCUGGAAUAGCUGGGACUACAGGCAUGCACCACCACCAUGCGUGCUAAUUUUUGUAUUUUUGGCAGACGAGGUUUUGCCAUGUUGCCUAGGAUGGUCUCAAACUCCUGGGCUCAAGAGGUCUACCCAACUCCCUCUUUCAAAGUUCUGUGAUUAUAGGUGUGAGUCACAGCACCCGACCAAUUUUAAUGAUCUAUUACACUGCAUGGAGACCACAAUUAACAUUUGCAGACUUUACAUAGUUCACGUUAAGUUUGAGAAAUCUGGCUCCUGGUUAAAAAAUCUACAGAUGAUUUCUUACGUCUGGCCAUAAACAAUUACAAAGGCUUUAUUUAACUGACAGGCCUGAUGGGGAAAACCCGUCUUCACAUCCCCAUACCAGACACGGUGAACAGAUGAUACCUUCCAGUGUCAAAGGGGAGCUGCAGUCAAACACUCAAGCCCCUCUGUGUGUCUGCCUUACACAUAUUCGCACUUUCAGCCCAGACACUUCCAGCCCUAGGUAUCUUUAUUUGGGGUCUCCAGAGACCUUUUUAUAAAAUUCGAGUAAGGAAGGGGAAAAGUUGAAGAUACUUUUCCUCACUCUAACUCAGUACUUUUCUACUCUUUGCCCUUUGCUUUUCUCUCAUCCCGUCCCAGGUCCAUAAAACUGCAGGAUUUUUUUUGUGGGGGAGCUCCCUGGGCGUUGAGAUGACCCCCGUGUCUGUGCUGAGCCCCCUGACCUUCAACUGGUGUCCUUGGGGAGAAAAUGGAAUAGGGGUGGGGCUGGGGGUUCAGCAUAAUCUCUGGUAUUAGCCUUCUGCUUAUACUAUCUCAAUCAGAAAUUAAAGGUCUGUUUGUUACUUUUAU
rnacentral:lncRNA from 1 species